rnacentral:rRNA from 1 species
AAGCGCCUGUGACCAGACUCGCGCCCGGCGUAUCAUCCGGCGUUCUCGCCGGUGCACUACGCCGGGCUCGGGCCAGCAUCGGUUCUGGUGGGGGGAUAAAGGCGGCGGGGAUGUGGCUCCCCCGGGAGUGUUAUAGCCCGCCGCUCAAUGCCCUCGCCGGGACCGAGGACCGCGCAUUGCAAGGAUGCUGGCGUAAUGGUCACCAGCGA